UGAACGAGAGAAGAUUCUAUGAUUCUUCAGUUCCUAAGAUUAUUAUGCUAUGGGCAUCUGCAUUGGCGUCUUGGGACUAAUGCUGUGGGCCUGGAGGGUAAGAUCUCAAUGUCGGAGAAGGGGCUACCCAAGAGCCCAAUGGAGUGCUCUGCAUCGGGUUUCGGUAGUGGAAUCUUGGAGCCAUUACUAUUGGCCCGAACGCAAGCUUCGAAAAUGGUGGUGGACGUCCAAGCGUUCAGGGAGAACGGUGUACAUUGUGCUGCAAUACUUCACCAGGGCACUGGUAUUGUGGCUCUUACCUCGGGUUUUGUAAGCUCGUGUUAUUAAAACGCCUGGAAAAUCGUGCGCAU